GACGAACGCUGGCGGCGUGCUUAACACAUGCAAGUCGAACGGAAAGGCCCUGCUUUUGUGGGAUGCUCGAGUGGCGAACGGGUGAGUAACACGUGAGUAACCUGCCCUUUACUGUGGGAUAACUUCAGGAAACUGGGGCUAAUACCGGAUCGGAGCUCCUGCUGCACGGUGGGGGUUGGAAAGGUUCGGCGGUUGGGGAUGGACUCGCGGCUUAUCAGCUUGUUGGUGGGGGAGUGGCUUACCAAGGCUUUGACGGGUAGCCGGCCUGAGAGGGUGACCGGCCACAUUGGGACUGAGGUACGGCCCAGACUCGUACGGGAGGCAGCAGUGGGGAAUAUUGCACAAUGGGGGGAAGCCUGAUGAAGCAACGCCGCGUGCGGGAUGACGGCCUUCGGGUUGUAAACCGCUUUCGCCUGUGACGAAGCGUGAGUGACGGUAAUGGGUAAAGAAGCACCGGCUAACUACGUG
rnacentral:rRNA from 1 species